rnacentral:rRNA from 1 species
AGUGAACGCUGGCGGUAGGCCUAACACAUGCAAGUCGAACGGCAGCACAGUAAGAGCUUGCUCUUACGGGUGGCGAGUGGCGGACGGGUGAGGAAUACAUCGGAAUCUACUUUUUCGUGGGGGAUAACGUAGGGAAACUUACGCUAAUACCGCAUACGACCUACGGGUGAAAGCAGGGGAUCUUCGGACCUUGCGCGAUUGAAUGAGCCGAUGUCGGAUUAGCUAGUUGGCGGGGUAAAGGCCCACCAAGGCGACGAUGCGUAGCUGACCUGAGAGGAUGGUGGGACACACGUGGAAUAAGACGAGGUCCAGACUCCUAAGGGAGGCAGCAGUAGGGAAUGUUCCGCAAUGGCCGAAAGCCUGACGGAGCAACGGCGCGUGAGUGAUGAAGGGCUUCGUAUCGUAAAACUCUGUUAUUAGGGAAGAACAAAUGUGUAAGUAACUAUGCACGUCUGGACGGUACCUAAGCAGAAAGCCACGGAUAACUACGUG